rnacentral:rRNA from 1 species
UGGGGAAUUUUGGACAAUGGGCGAAAGCCUGAUCCAGCAAUGCCGCGUGUGUGAAGAAGGCCUUCGGGUUGUAAAGCACUUUUUUCCGGAAAGAAAUGGCCCUGGUUAAUACCUGGGGUCGAUGACGGUACCGGAAGAAUAAGGACCGGCUAACUACGGGCCAGCAGCCGCGGUAAUACGUAGGGUCCAAGCGUUAAUCGGAAUUACUGGGCGUAAAGCGUGCGCAGGCGGUUGUGCAAGACCGAUGUAAAAUCCCCGAGCUUAACUUGGGAAUUGCAUUGGUGACUGCACGGCUAGAGUGUGUCAGGGGGGGGUAGAAUUCCACGUGUAGCAGUGAAAUGCGUAGAGUUGUGGAGGAAUACCGAUGGCGAAGGCAGCCCCCUGGGAUAACACUGACGCUCAUGCACGAAAGCGUGGGGAGCAAACAGG